rnacentral:rRNA from 1 species
AGAGGUGGCAAGCGUUGUUCGGAAUUACUGGGCGGUAAAGGGCGCGCAGGGCGGGUUCGUCAAGUCCCGUGUGAAAUCCCCCGGCUCAACUGGGGAACUGCGCGGGAAACUAGCGGGCUUGAGUUCGGGAGAGGAAAGCGGAAUUCCGGGUGUAGCGGUGAAAUGCGCAGAUAUCCGGAGGAACACCAGUGGCGAAGGCGGCUUUCUGGACCGACACUGACGCUGAGGCGCGAAAGCUAGGGGAGCGAACGGGAUUAGAUACCCCGGUAGUCCUAGCCCUAAACGUUGAGCAACUGGGUUGGGUUACGGGGGUACUUGAACCCCCCUGUGCCGAAGCUAACGCAUUAAGUGCUCCGCCUGGGGAGUACGGUCGCAAAGGCUG